rnacentral:rRNA from 1 species
AUUGAACGCUGGCGGCAGGCCUAACACAUGCAAGUCGAGCGGAUGAAGGGAGCUUGCUCCUGGAUUCAGCGGCGGACGGGUGAGUAAUGCCUAGGAAUCUGCCUGGUAGUGGGGGAUAACGUCCGGAAACGGGCGCUAAUACCGCAUACGUCCUGAGGGAGAAAGUGGGGGAUCUUCGGACCUCACGCUAUCAGAUGAGCCUAGGUCGGAUUAGCUAGUUUGUGGGGUAAAGGCCUACCAAGGCGACGAUCCGUAACUGGUCUGAGAGGAUGAUCAGUCACACUGGAACUGGGACACGGUCCAGACUCCUACGGGAGGCAGCAGUGGGGAAUAUUGGACAAUGGGCGAAAGCAUGAUCCAGCCAUGCCGCGUGUGUGAAGAAGGUCUUCGGAUUGUAAAGCACUUUAAGUUGGGAGGAAGGGCAGUAAGUUAAUACCUUGCUGUUUUGACGUUACCAACAGAAUAAGCACCGGCUAACUUCGUG